rfam:Cephalotus follicularis DNA, scaffold: scaffold2234, isolate: St1.
GGGUGCGAUCAUACCAGCACUAAUGCAUCGGAUCCCAUUGGAACUCCGAAGUCAAGGAUUCUUGGGCGAGAAUGGUACUAAGACGAGCUUUGUCACAGGACUUUCACAGACAUAGGCA